rnacentral:rRNA from 1 species
CACGUAGGGGGCGAGCGUUGUCCGGAUUUAUUGGGCGUAAAGAGCUCGUAGGCGGCUUGUCGCGUCGACUGUGAAAACUCGGGGCUCAACUCCGAGCUUGCAGUCGAUACGGGCAGGCUAGAGUUCGGUAGGGGAGACUGGAAUUCCUGGUGUAGCGGUGAAGUGCGCAGAUAUCAGGAAGAACACCCGUGGCGAAGGCGGCUCUCUGGGACGGUACUGACGCUGAGACGCGAAAGCGUGGGGAGCGAACAGG